UACCUUUCGUUCUCGUUAGAUCACCGAAGUCAAGUAUCAUAGGGCGCGGUCAGUACAUGGGUGGGUGACCACCUGGGAACACCGCGUGCCGUU